rnacentral:rRNA from 1 species
AGGGAAUAUUGGACAAUGGGCGCAAGCCUGAUCCAGCCAUGCCGCGUGAGUGAAGAAGGCCCUCGGGUUGUAAAGCUCUUUUGUCCGGAAAGAAAAGCGCCGGGUUAAUACCCUGGUGUCCUGACGGUACCGGAAGAAUAAGCACCGGCUAACUUCGUGCCAGCAGCCGCGGUAAUACGAAGGGUGCAAGCGUUACUCGGAAUUACUGGGCGUAAAGCGUGCGUAGGUGGUUUGUUAAGUCUGAUGUGAAAGCCCUGGGCUCAACCUGGGAAUUGCAUUGGAUACUGGCAGGCUAGAGUGCGGUAGAGGGUAGUGGAAUUCCCGGUGUAGCAGUGAAAUGCGUAGAGAUCGGGAGGAACAUCUGUGGCGAAGGCGACUACCUGGACCAGCACUGACACUGAGGCACGAAAGCGUGGGGAGCAAAC